AUUCCAGCUCCAAUAGCGUAUAUUAAAGUUGUUGCAGUUAAAAAGCUCGUAGUUGGAGUUCAGAGUGAGCUCAAUCGGUCGGGAUUAUGUCUCAGAACUGGUUGACUCUCUCUCGUUUGUGGAUCCUGUUCGGAGUUAACUCUUCGGAUGUGGAGUCCACAUCGUUUACCUUGAAAAAAUUAGAGUGUUCAAAGCAGGCGUUUGCUUGAAUAUAUUAGCAUGGAAUAAUGGAAUAGGACGCUGGUUCUAUUUUGUUGGUUUUGAGAACCAGAGUAAUGAUUAAUAGGGACAGUUGGGGGCAUUCAUAUUUCAUUGUCAGAGGUGAAAUUCUUGGAUUUAUGAAAGAUGAACUUCUGCGAAAGCAUUUGCCAAGGAUGUUUUCAUCA
rnacentral:rRNA from 1 species